rnacentral:lncRNA from 1 species
UCUGGCACAGGUGUCUCCAUUGCUGAUUUCUGUUGAACUGUAUUCCACCCAAUUGCUGAGCAGCCCAGAUGUGAAGCACGCAGGCCUGUGGACAAGGGCUGCCAUCUCCUUCUGGAGGUCAUCCUUCGAGCAGUCCUGUGGCUCUCCCUUGUCUCGGAACAGCUCUUUUCUUGUUUUGUUUUGUUUGGGUUUUUUUUCAAGUCCUAGUUAUAUAAAGAAGAAGAAAAGGACAGGAAGGAAAUCUGUGUGACUUUGGGCCCUUGCCCACCGAAUUCCGUCUGUAAAAUGGGGAAUUAAGCUACAUAACCUCCAAGAAGACUUGUUUUGUAUUGUGGAUACAUUAGACAAUAUUUGAACACGUAUUACAGUAGAAUUGCCCAAGGAAGUCCCAUGGGUCUAUCAAUCCACUUCAACAGUGAUUACUGUCUCAUGGCCGAUCCUGUUUUGUUCACAUCCCCACAGCUUGAUGAUCACAUUUUCUUUAUUAUUAUAGUUCUUAGAGUCCUGCAUAAUAUAUUGCCCACAAAAUAAGAUAGCUUGCACCAGAGAAAAGUCAGGCAGGGAACUGGUGCACAGAUGACUGGUCAUUACGACUGACUUUUCUCCUAGUGCACAUCUCGUCCUCAGGGAUGUCCCACGCUCAGGGCGUCCUGAGUAACUAGGGCACAGGGUCUCCAUGCUACUGCAGCCGCAGGCCCAAGGCAUCUCUUGGAGAGCACUCCCCAGCCUGCCAUCUCAGUCUGGAGGAUAGAAGGGCUCCUGUCUGCCUUCCCAAGCUCACGGGUGCUGCACCGGCAGGAGUAGGUAGGUGGCUCUUUGGCAGCAAUCAUCUGAGAGCCUCUUCAUCAGCGCCAGGACCUUGCAGCUGCCAGCUCACCCAGCUUCUUGCCUGAAGUUGACCCCAAACAGCAGGCAGCUCUGAGCUUCCUGUCUCCUCAGCUUUAUUCCAAGGUGACUCUGUGUCCUUCCUCCAGAGCACAAAGGAAGGAGAAGGCUCUCCCCUCUGCACUCUUCUGUCUUCUGCAACUUUGUGAGUGGAUCCAAGUCAAAGGAGCUUCUUUCAUCCCCUCAGAGGCCACCCAGGACUCCACAUCCCCAUGGCUGUGUUGCUAUCUUUCCAUCUGCUUUGAGGGACCAUUCCAGAACCCUGAAAUGCUUGUCCUCUUCUCCAGCUGAGCAUAGGCCUCAUGGGGUGUGCAAUCACCAGGCCGGGCUUUGCAGGCCCCAUGGUGUUCCAGGUCACUGGGAUGGGCCAGGUGGUUGCUAGCAGGGGUCUUGACCUGACUUCUGCCAUGAACCUUGGUGCCUGGCCUUCUGCUCGCCAGCUGAGUGAGCCCAGGAGAGAGAUGUGGAGAGUAGAAACUUGGUUAAGUUGCCCCAAGUCAGGGACAAGCCUUCUUUCCACGGAGCCUUCUUUCCAAAGGGCAAGCCCUCCGCUACUGUGUACUGUAAAUUCAGCUUCAGGAGGCCAGGCCCCCUUGCACUUGGGGGACAGGUAGCUGAGGAGAAAGAGACCCCUUCUCACCUUUUGUUUACGUUCAAUCUGGCUGAAUUUAGCUGCCCUUAACCUCUAGUUUGCUAAAGUCCUUAUUGCCUUAAUGACCACCUAAUAAGCAGUCAGAACUGUUGAGAAGCCCCUCUGUGUGUGGCAUUCAUCCGAGGGAGGCCCGCCCCGUCUCCCCAUUGCUGCUGUGCCUGAUAAGAGCCUAAGGCCUGGCUCCAAAGCCCAGGGUUCACCUCUCACUGACAGAACAGAGCAAUGUUCCCAGGCUGGGGACAAGCCCAGGACUGCUCAGGCAGGAGAGAUGCCCGGGCCCCUUGUGACCACUGCCAAGCCGAUGCCCUUCUUUGGUCUCCGUUGCUUCAGAUCUGGACUCUCCCUCUCCUCUCCCUCCACCUCUCGCCCAGAGACCCUCCACCCCUCAUGCUCAGUGAGGACCAUCUAGACUUUUUCGUUCUCUGGAACACGCUACUCCCCUUCAGCUGCAGCAUCUUUCUUCAGCCUGUCCACCAAGCUCUUUAAUUGAACGGCAGUUGCUGUCUUCCCUUGGACAAUAAUGAAUGUAUCUAUUGUAAGUGCAGACCAUGUAGAGAAGUGGCUGGGUUAAGAAAAAAAAGAGAGUUUUCUUUUGUAAAGCCUGUUUAUUUUUUUAAGCCAGUUUUGAGCAUUUUUAUUUUACCACCCUUCACAUGGUUUUGGGGAACCCAAACUGCAUCAAGAUCUCAUGCCAAAACAAGCCAACGGUUGUUUUCUUUACCUUUUUCCUCCACGCACCAUGAUUUCAAUGAUUGUUUUGGUGUCAUUUUAAAUGUUUUCUUGUGACAUGUACUAACGAUAAAAGUCAUCUUGACAAAAAAAAGAUUUAUACAUGAAUCAGAAAGUAUUUAUU